ACUUAGCUAAAACGGUUGGUUCAAAACAUUUUCUUGCAGUCUUGGCAUAACAUCAAAAAGGCAUAAACAUCGCAAAAUACUGGUUGUUCAUAAAUAAAACCGCCAGUGUUA
rfam:Drosophila sechellia strain Rob3c scaffold_51 genomic scaffold, whole genome shotgun sequence.